UGGGGAAUAUUGGGCAAUGGGCGAAAGCCUGACCCAGCAACGCCGCGUGAAGGAUGAAGUAUUUCGGUAUGUAAACUUCGAAAGAAUAGGAAGAAUAAAUGACGGUACUAUUUAUAAGGUCCGGCUAACUACGUGCCAGCAGUCGCGGUAAUACGUAGGGACCAAGCGUUGUUCGGAUUUACUGGGCGUAAAGGGCGCGUAGGCGGCAAUUCAAGUCAUCUGUGAAAUCUCCGGGCUUAACUCGGAACGGUCAGAUGAUACUGCUUUGCUAGAGUGCAGAAGGGGCAAUCGGAAUUCUUGGUGUAGCGGUGAAAUGCGUAGAUAUCAAGAGGAACACCUGAGGUGAAGACGGGUUGCUGGGCUGACACUGACGCUGAGGCGCGAAAGCCAGGGGAGCAAACGGGAUUAGAUACCCAGGUAGUCCCUGAGCGGGCUGGCAAGGCG
rnacentral:rRNA from 1 species